AAGGUCAGAACCUUGGAGAACAUCUUCUUUAGAACUUUGCUACUCAGAAGUGUGGCCAAUGGCCCAGCAGCCUUGCCAGGGGGUUAGAAUGGUAGAAUUUCAAUGUCCUCAAUCCUGAAACAUGCUAAAUCAGCACCCUCAAUUUAACAAGAACUCUAAGUGAUUUGUAUCACAUCAUAGUUUGAGAAACUCUGACCUAGAUAAGAGAAGCCAACAAAUAAAGAAGGAAUCUAAUCUAGAUGAGAGAAACCAGGAAAGAAAGAGGGAAGAGGAAGUAAGAGGAGAACCAGGGUAAUGCAAAAUCACCAAAGCAAGGUGGAUUAUCGAGAUGACUACAAGCCCCUGGUGUUGACAGAGCCACAAAAAAGAAGGUGUCCCAAUGGAGAGUUGCCUGCUGAUCUGGAACCCCCACCAUCAAUUAUUAUAGCUAUUUGAAUCCUGGAACUUUGUGGGGAAUGAGGGGCACUUCAAAGGAAAAGAAGGUUAAUAUUUCCGAUCUACCUAAAGAAUAGUUAAUGUGACUUCCAGAAUUCCUGUUUUGGAAUUCAGGGAAAAGGUACCGUGUCAGCAAAAAUGGAGGGAGAGAUUGGCUCUGCCUGGGUAAUGGAAGAAAUGUCAGUGCUGGCCUCACAGAG